UGCAGCUUCUUUUGGACUCUUGACUUGAGUUUCUGAUGCUUUCAAAAUUGACCAAAGAUCUGAUUUUCUUUGGGGUUUAACUUGAGAAUAGAUUCUUUAUACAUACAAAAUUUGAUGUUGGAUAUGAACUCACAAAACGACCAUGUUCUAUCGGUGGUACUUCUGAACCUUGAUCCUGAAUUUGAAAAUCUUCAUUCUAUUCUUUAGGCGGGCUCCUGACUUACAACUUUUUCACCUUGUUGCUUGACUUCCAAUUUCAUCGCCCUAUUCUCCAGGCGGGUUCCUGACUUAUUAUUUUUUAUCUUUUGAUUUUCAACUUCACCGUCCCAUUCUUCAUGCAGGCUCCUGACUUGUAAUUUCCCCAUUUUAUUGCCUUUCCGUUGUGUCACCUUGGUGUUUGACUUUCAAUCUCCUCACCUUGUUGCUUGACUUUUAAUUUCUUCACCUUGUUGCUUGACUUUUAAUUUCAUCACCUUGUUGCUUGACUUUUAAUUUCUUCGCUCUGUUCUCCGGCGAGCUCUCGACUUUCAAUUUUAUCACCCCUAUUCUUUGGGAGGGCCCCCCGACUUAUAACUUCCUCGCUCUAUUCUCCGAGCGAUCUCCCAACUUUUAAUUUAAUCACCCCUAUUCUUCGAGCGGUCCCCCUGACUUACAAUUUUCUCACUCUGCUCUCUGGG
rnacentral:lncRNA from 1 species